ensembl:lncRNA
AUGAUGACCCUGGCAUUGCUGACACUUCUGCUGAUCAUGAAUGGUUCUGCAGUGGGAAAAAUGAUGAAAUCUAAUGAGAUGGCCUUUGUUGGACAGGAUGUACUUUUAUCAUUCAACUGUUCUAAUGUCCCAAAAAAUCUGAUAUGGCAGAAAGGUGAGAAACUAGUGAAUGUUCAUCCGCAUGACAAAAGCAUCAUCAAUGAUUCCUACGUAGAUAGGACGCAACUCUUCCUAAACAAGGAGAAGAGAAACUGCUCCCUGCUGCUCCGCAACGUCUCUUCAGGGGAUGCAGGGCUGUACACCUCUCAUGCCUUAGUCAGUGUUAGUGACAACGUCUGGUCAAGGAGGUCAUUAGAAGUUAAUCUAACAGUGUCUGGAAAUGAAAUACCAGCAGAAGACCUGAUUCAAAUGACAAAACAGCUCACUACUUACAAUGGUUCUGCAGUGGGAAAAAUUAUGAAAUCUAAUGAGAUGGCCUUUGUUGGACAGGAUGUACUUUUAUCAUUCAACUGUUCUAAUGUCCCAAAAGAACUGAUAUGGCAGAAAGGUGAGAAACUAGUGAAUGUUCAUCCGCAUGACAAAAGCAUCAUCGAUGAUUCCUACGUAGAUAGGACGCAACUCUUCCUAAACAAGGAGAAGAGAAACUGCUCCCUGCUGCUCCGCAACGUCUCUUCAGCGGAUGCAGGGCUGUACACCUCUCAUGCCUUAUUCAGUGUUGGUGACAACGUCUGGUCAAGGAGGUCAUUAGAAGUUAAUCUAACAGUGUCUGAAAAUAUAAUACCAACACAUUUUCCAGAGUUGGACCAGGGGGUCCACAGACUCCGCAUAUGUUUAGUCAAAUAA